CGAUGGUUUUCACUUCUCAGGCACAAAUACACAGAGAUUCAACAAAUUACGAGCCAUUUUCCAUUAAAAAUUAGGAGCCAUUUUCCGUUGGAUUGCACCAUGGCUCGUAACGAAGAAUUGUUGAGUUAAGCAAACCAAACCAAACCUAAUUGACGAGAUUUACAAGCUAAUAUAUGCUGAAAUGAGUGAUUUGGAAGGUAGUCCGUCCAUGUUUCAAACCCUAGCCGACGACGUGGACCAGAGUAUAUAUAUAGGUAUUUAUGUUUUACAGUUAUGAAUAUGAAGUCCGUUUUCAGUUUCAAAUGGAGUUAAGAUCCUCGGUUCAGAUGUAGCAGACUCACGAUUCAGAUUUGUGGUCUUUAGAAGGCAAAGGGCAUUAUGGGCAGAACUGAAAUAGAGCUGCAAAGUAAAAGGGCAAAACAUGAAGAAGUCAGAGUCAGAAGGAGGAAUGUCACAGAUUUCAGAAAACUCAAAAACUUUAUUGUGAAAGUGUCAAUUUAAUAGCAAACAAUUGUAGCGGUGGAGUCCAAGGUGAUGGUUCAGUUGCUAGCAUUGCACCACCGGAGACGGAGGGUGUGGAGAAAGAAUGCUCAAGAAAAAGGGGACGCAGUAAUUCAUGCAGCAAGGCUGAGAAUAAAGCAUGUCGUGAGAGGCAAAGAAGGGAAUUAUUAAACAGCAGGUUCUUAGAAUUAAGCUCUACUUUGGAACCCGACCGGCCUGCCACCACUGAUAAAUUGGCUAUACUUGGAGAUGCUAUUCGAGUUCUAAAUCAGCUCAAAUCUGAAACACAGGAUUUCAAAGAAAUGAAUGAGAAACUAUCGGAAGAAAUUAAAACUCUGAAGGCGGAGAAGAACGAGCUUCGUGAAGAGAAACUUGUAUUAAAGGCGGAAAAAGCAAAAAUGGAGCAGCAGGUCAAAUCCAUGACCAGUAAUAUUCCACCACCUGGAUUUAUGGCACCACAUCCGGCUGCAUUUCAGGCUGGAGCGAACAAGAUGCCUGUUUUUCCAGGCUACGGUUACAUUCCAAUGUGGCAGUAUUUACCACCAUCUACGUGUAAUACGUCUCAUGAUCAUGAGCUGAGGCCACCUGCUGCUUAAUGACCGAACCAAUAAAAGAAGCGUUAGCUCAUUGUAGUUUGUAAAUAGAAAUGCUUAGUUGGAUUUUGUGUUUUUAUCAAUCUGCACUUCUGCCAUUAUGUUUUUAGGGACGAAUAGAGUUUUUUGUUGGAUAUAAAUGAUAUCCUCUUCUAAUCUUUUUA